AACACUCAACCCUAGACGCUGCCGUGGGGUCAGAGCCCAUGCUCCCAACGACCUGCCCGUCUGCAUGCUCCUCCCCUAGGGGUUUGAGCUGCUGCAGCAGAGCGCCAAAGAAGCAAGCCACACGCCAUCACACGCCCUGCCAGGGGGAUAAGGGAACUUUUCCUGUUUCAACUGGGACCUCGCCCAGGAUCCCGGAAGGGAUUCCAGCAUUUGUCCCAGCAUGUUUUAUGCAGAAAGAAGUGAUCAAGGAAAGUGUCCAAGACAUGGUAAGCCAAAUGUAGAAUGAGGCAGUCAUAGUGAGAGGAUUGUCCACUCUGUUAUGCAUGAUUGAGAGUCAUAUUUAUUCCUAAACUACAUUCUUUUAUUAUUACUGUUAACUUUUCUCUGAAGUCC
ensembl:lncRNA novel transcript